rnacentral:rRNA from 1 species
AUUGAACGCUGACGGCAUGCUUUACACAUGCAAGUCGAACGGCAGCGCGGGCUUCGGCCUGGCGGCGAGUGGCGAACGGGUGAGUAAUACAUCGGAACGUGCCCAGUAGUGGGGGAUAGCUCGGCGAAAGCCGGAUUAAUACCGCAUACGACCUGAGGGUGAAAGCGGGGGAUCUUCGGACCUCGCGCUAUUGGAGCGGCCGAUGGCAGAUUAGCUAGUUGGUGGGGUAAAGGCCUACCAAGGCGACGAUCUGUAGCUGGUCUGAGAGGACGACCAGCCACACUGGGACUGAGACACGGCCCAGACUCCUACGGGAGGCAGCAGUGGGGAAUUUGGGACAAUGGGCGAAAGCCUGAUCAGCAAUGCCGCGUGUGUGAUGAAGGCCUUCGGGUUGUAAAGCACUUUUGGCGGGAACGAAAAGGACUGUGCCAAUACCACGGUUCGAUGACGGUACCCGCAGAAUAAGCACCGGCUAACUACGUG